GGGAGCGGGCGGGGCAGGGGCAGGGGCAGCUGACUGGGCGGGGAGCAGUGCAUGCGCUGCUCACCGCCCAUUGCUAUUGCGAGCUGCUAGGAUGAGGAUGGUUUCGCGGUUUCAGCCAAUUUCACUUUUAUUUUUAUAAAAGAUGGGUCUCAACGACACUUUCUCAUUCGACUAGAACUACCUCGUUUGUUCGAGGUAGGAGCUGGGACGUUGAUAGGCCGUCGGAAUGUGAAGUGCAUGUAGAUGAUACAACCCCUUAUCUGUUGACCGGGUCCAAGGAUAGCCCUUACCAACUGUCGGCAAUGAAUACUGAUGACUACGAGGUUUUUGAGAUCAGUCGAGGCUGUCUCGGGCGAAGAGGAAGAAGCCGGCCUGGGAUGGGCUGAAGAGGUCAAAAGCAUAGGAAAGUUUUGCUUUAACGAGGUUCUACAUUGACGUGUUCGAAUACCCUAUCCUUAACUACAACUAAAAGUUUUGGUGUU